rnacentral:rRNA from 1 species
UAGGGAAUCUUCGGCAAUGGGGGGACCACCCUGACCGAACACGCCGCGUGAGUGAAGAAGGUUUUCGGAUCGUAAAGCUCUGUUGUAAGAGAAGAACGUGUGUGAGAGUGGAAAGUUCACACAGUGACGGUAACUUACCAGAAAGGGACGGCUAACUACGUG